CUGGAGUGUGAAUCACGAUCUUCAAGUUCCAAGACCAGAAUGUAGUGAAAAGAUGCAGAAUUUUCCAACCCCAAAACAGAAUUAUGCAGAAAAUAUAUAUACAGAAGGCAACCACGCCGCGCGCCAGAUCCAUCACGCCGCGCGUGGUUGCAAAUUCAUCAACUACGCCGCGCGUGGUAACAGAAUCACGCGGCGCGUGAUCAAGUCAGAGGCAAUCUUCUUCUUCAAUCAAGACUUCACGCCGCGCGUGGUCAGGUAUCACGCCGCGCGUGGGCAAGUCAGAGAGCAAUCCAGUUCCUGCACCAAGCUUCACGCCGCGCGUAGUCAGUUAUCACGCCGCGCGUAGUCAGAGUUAAAAUCUUGGCUCCCUGUGAGCUCCAUCACGCGGCGCGUGAUGGGCUACGCCCCCAGCGUAGUGAAAAUCCUUUAUUUCCUGCAGUUUUUCCUGUUUUCUUGCAAAUCAAGUAAUCAAGCUAAUGGUUAGAUUUCUCUCAUAUUUAUUGCUAAAAACCUACUAAAAUGUAUCUAAUGUUGCUAAAAUAGGCAUGGAAUAGAGAGUGUGACGAUUUGUCAUCAUAU
rnacentral:lncRNA from 1 species